rnacentral:rRNA from 1 species
UACGUAGGGGGCAAGCGUUGUCCGGAAUUAUUGGGCGUAAAGCGCGCGCAGGCGGCUGUUUAAGUCUGGUGUUUAAGCCCGGGGCUCAACCCCGGUUCGCACCGGAAACUGGGCAGCUUGAGUGCAGGAGAGGAAAGUGGAAUUCCACGUGUAGCGGUGAAAUGCGUAGAGAUGUGGAGGAACACCAGUGGCGAAGGCGACUUUCUGGCCUGUAACUGACGCUGAGGCGCGAAAGCGUGGGGAGCAAACAGG